AGAAUCUCAAAAGCAUAAAUAACUAAUGUACAUAGCUAAACUUCUGGAAGCUCAGUGAGGGCAGGGACAUGUUGUUCCUUUAUGUAUUUAUUUUUUUAGACCACUGUAUAUGCAAAGUCUGCACCAUGCCAGGAGUAUAGAAAACUGUCCAUAUUUGUGGUUGAAAGGAUGAACGAAUUUAAAAUUCUAUAACUCUACCAUCUAUAAUUCUUAAUUCAGACCAAAGCACGGAAGAAAUUAAACCAAAGGGCUUGAAAGUGGAUAAUAGUUCUGGAAAGGAAUUGAAUUAGUCUUUUAUGUAUUAUCUCUUUGCUCUUUAUUUUAAUGAAGGACUCUAAAAGGUAAAAAUUGUAUCUAGUAAAAUUUCACUUAACCAGAAAACAAGAAUAUAUAAUUAGUUGUACUUUUAGGAAGACUAGAGGAAUGUAGAAGACAAAAAGUGAAUAGGGAGACAUUGGAAAAAUAUCAGUGCUGAGGAUGUUUUUGAAGUCAUAAUGUGCGUUAUGCAAACCAGCUCCUAUUGCAGUCUACAUCCACACCCCAGGUUCACGGGCUAAUGUGCAGGGAGGUAAGUCUCUAUAGCUAAGUUGUGUGCUUUCAAGAAUUGCCCUUUCUCUGGUGUAUGCACAUCUGUACGUGCACCGUCUUGCUGACUGACUACAUGAAUAUGUGUGUGUCUCUUUGUCAAAAGAGUAUCAAAAUCUUCACUUUUAUUCUCUCUCUCUAUUUAAAAAAAAUUACCCCCCAGCCAUAAAUCUCUGAAUCCACCCUGAAAAGUGUGCAGAUCUAAAAAAAAGAAGGUAUUUGUUGGCUGUAAAAUCCCCAAGUCAAGGAGAAUAACGAUUAAUAUUUCUUCUCUUAUCCUCAGGAAUGAACAGAACACCAGCACACCGAUGUAGCACCUGCUUGGCAGUUUUCAUUAAAAUAAAAUUAUUGAGGGAAAAAGACACAUGGAUCUAUCUGCCAAUAAGUUCACAAACAGCUACAGGAAAAGUUGCUACAGGUGCCAACAUGAAGAAAGAAGAGACUCUGACUAGAGAAGCAAUGGUUUUAAAGGGAAGCAGCAAAACUGCAGUCAGCUCAGCAGGGGCCAGUGGAGUCUAUUCAAGGAGCUGCUGUGCUGCAGGUGAACACGGAGCUGUCAUGCUGAACUGCUUUGCUUCUCACACGUUUCCAGUUUGCCCAAGAGGAGAGUUCUGAAAUCAAGGGAGUCUGGAGACUUAGACCGAAGCUUCAAGCUGCAAGUACAAGGUAUCAUUCAUGCUUGAGGAGAGUGACCACUCAUGUAGCAGACUCCCCAGGCUCCUUACAGAUGAAGGUAACUGCUGAUGAAAACAUACCACAGGAGGGACCACCUGUGACCACAAGAAUUUAA